CUAUACAUGCAGUCGAGCGAAAGAAGGGAGCUUGCUCCCGGAUGUUAGCGGCGGACGCGGUGAGUAACACGUGGGUAACCUGCCUGUAAGACUGGGAUAACUCCGGGAAACCGGAGCUAAUACCGGAUAGUUCCUUGAACCGCAUGGUUCAAGGAUGAAAGACGGUUUCGGCUGUCACUUACAGAUGGACCCGCGGCGCAUUAGCUAGUUGGUGGGGUAAUGGCUCACCAAGGCGACGAUGCGUAGCCGACCUGAGAGGGUGAUCGGCCACACUGGGACUGAGACACGGCCCAGACUCCUACGGGAGGCAGCAGUAGGGAAUCUUCCGCAAUGGACGAAAGUCUGACGGAGCAACGCCGCGUGAGUGAUGAAGGUUUUCGGAUCGUAAAGCUCUGUUGUUAGGGAAGAACAAGUGCGAGAGUAACUGCUCGCACCUUGACGGUACCUAACCAGAAAGCCACGGCUAACUACGUGCCAGCAGCCGCGGUAAUACGUAGGUGGCAAGCGUUGUCCGGAAUUAUUGGGCGUAAAGGGCUCGCAGGCGGUUUCUUAAGUCUGAUGUGAAAGCCCCCGGCUCAACCGGGGAGGGUCAUUGGAAA
rnacentral:rRNA from 1 species